rnacentral:rRNA from 1 species
AGAGUUUGAUCCUGGCUCAGGAUGAACGCUAGCGGCAGGCUUAACACAUGCAAGUCGAGGGGCAUCGGGAGGGAAGCUUGCUUUCCUUGCCGGCGACCGGCGCACGGGUGAGUAACACGUAUGCAACCUGCCCUCUUCAGGGGGACAACCUUCCGAAAGGGAGGCUAAUCCCGCGUAUAUCGGUUUCGGGCAUCCGAGAUCGAGGAAAGAUUCAUCGGAAGAGGAUGGGCAUGCGGCGCAUUAGCUAGACGGCGGGGUAACGGCCCACCGUGGCGACGAUGCGUAGGGGUUCUGAGAGGAAGGUCCCCCACACUGGUACUGAGACACGGACCAGACUCCUACGGGAGGCAGCAGUGAGGAAUAUUGGUCAAUGGGAGAGAUCCUGAACCAGCCAAGCCGCGUGAGGGAAGACGGCCCUAUGGGUUGUAAACCUCUUUUGUCGGAGAACAAAACCCGGGACGAGUCCCGGACUGCGUGUAUCCGAAGAAAAAGCAUCGGCUAACUCCGUGCCAGCAGCCGCGGUAAUACGGAGGAUGCGAGCGUUAUCCGGAUUUAUUGGGUUUAAAGGGUGCGUAGGCGGUCCGUUAAGUCAGCGGUAAAAUUGCGGGGCUCAACCCCGUCGAGCCGUUGAAACUGGCAGACUUGAGUUGGCGAGAAGUACGCGGAAUGCGCGGUGUAGCGGUGAAAUGCAUAGAUAUCGCGCAGAACUCCGAUUGCGAAGGCAGCGUACCGGCGCCACACUGACGCUGAGGCACGAAAGCGUGGGGAUCGAACAGGAUUAGAUACCCUGGUAGUCCACGCAGUAAACGAUGAAUGCUGUUUGUCCGGGUCGAAUGAGACCUGGGCGGCGAAGCGAAAGCGAUAAGCAUUCCACCUGGGGAGUACGCCGGCAACGGUGAAACUCAAAGGAAUUGACGGGGGCCCGCACAAGCGGAGGAACAUGUGGUUUAAUUCGAUGAUACGCGAGGAACCUUACCCGGGCUCAAACGCAGGAGGGAUGUUUUUGAAAGGAGGCAGCCAGCAAUGGUCUCCUGCGAGGUGCUGCAUGGUUGUCGUCAGCUCGUGCCGUGAGGUGUCGGCUUAAGUGCCAUAACGAGCGCAACCCCUACCUACAGUUGCCAUCGCGUGAUGGCGGGCACUCUGUGGGGACUGCCUGCGCAAGCAGUGAGGAAGGCGAGGAUGACGUCAAAUCAGCACGGCCCUUACGUCCGGGGCGACACACGUGUUACAAUGGCAGGUACAGCGGGAAGCCACCCGGCGACGGGGCGCGGAACCCGAAAACCUGUCUCAGUUCGGAUUGGAGUCUGCAACCCGACUCCAUGAAGCUGGAUUCGCUAGUAAUCGCGCAUCAGCCACGGCGCGAUGAAUACGUUCCCGGGCCUUGCACACACCGCCCGUCA